AACGAACGCUGGCGGCAUGCCUAACACAUGCUAGUCGAACGAGACCUUCGGGUCUAGUGGCGCACGGGUGCGUAACGCGUGGGAAUCUGCCCUUGGGUUCGGAAUAACAGUGAGAAAUUACUGCUAAUACCGGAUGAUGACGAAAGUCCAAAGAUUUAUCGCCCAAGGAUGAGCCCGCGUAGGAUUAGCUAGUUGGUAAG
rnacentral:rRNA from 1 species